GAGUACGGAGCGUCCAGCUCUGUGAAUGAUGUAAGUUUCGAAGACUAGAGGCUUCCUUUCAUCGAGUAUUUGUUUUGUUUCAAUUCGCCUUAUUCACCCGGAACUUUCUAAAGACGUUGAGGGGUACACUUCAGGGGUACACCCGGCUGCACACCAGCUGUUUGGCGCCUCACUGCUGUGUGCCCAAAUGUAGUCCUACGUCCUCAAAGAGAAACAAAUCCUACCGUGGACAGACUUUCCACCGUUUCGCCAAAGAGCAGGCACUUCGGCGUGAAUGAAUUAAUCACAUCAAGAGGGAUCCUGGUCCAUAUUUCAAGAUCAACGCUGAGACCGAGGUUUGAUCUGAGCACGUUGAGAAGCAAUGCUUUGUUAAGGUCACCCGUGGUAUGACAACGCUAAUAAAGGAUGCUGUGCCUGCCAACUUUGUUCGCCUGGACUUCAGAGAAGCCAAAGACGAGAAUCAUCAUUCGCAUACCGUGUAUGGAUUCCAUGGAGUAUUCCAUCGAGUAUUUCUUCUGUUUCAAUCGUCUUGGUAAGGCAACUUGUCUAUUUUUCCCCAUACUGUUGUAACCUAAGUCUUAUAUUGUCUAUCACUGCCAAAUACUUCAGGUGAAACCUGCAAUUUGUAUUUUGUUUUGUUAAUACUUAAGUUUGAUGUUGGCUGGUUGAAAUGAGUUCGGAGUAAGCAGACUGUAUUUCACAUGCUGUGAUCACGCACCCAUUGCGUGCAAGGUGUAAUUCUCUAGGCCUAUACAUGGGUUCUAAAUGUUGUUUAUAACCUGACUGCGCGAACCUAGCUGUGCACAACUCCACCUCUGAUUGUUGGAAACCGCUGACGGUCAAAAACUUCUCACAUGUUUGGCUGCCAGUGUCUUGCCCCUCCUCAUAACAUUGUGUUGAACACUGUACGGGCCCAUGUAUAAUUGCAAGGUUACCUCAAUUUCAGUACACUAUGUAUUCACCCUGUUUACUUGAUAAUGGUUA